CAGACUUAUGUUUUCUCAAAAUUUCCUCGUUUUCGAUUUUAAACCGAAAGUCAAGGAUUGUACUAGCCAGUCCAUAAUAUGCCUUUGCAGUUAAAUAUUGUCCCAUUACGGGAUAACCACAUAAACGUGCAACAACUGAGGCUAUAACCCCAUAAGCAGAACUAAUAGCUAAAAAUGUGUGACAUGCGAAAUAGCGAAAGUGAUAUCUAAUACAUUUCGGGAGAGUAAAAAAUCGGUUGAUUCCGCACAAACCAACAAAUACUGUCACAGUAGCAAGCAGCGUGCUCUUAAUAAAACCCAUUUCGAAUAUGUACACAGUAGAGAAGAGCAAACUUUCAACAACCCUUCCUUUCGUUUUAAAGUAUGGUUGGUGCGGUGAUAGUAACGUUGGUGAUUCGUAAUAAAAAUGAAUGGCCUGAGGACAUUUCAUUAAUUGCACACUUUAAACUUAAGUUAUACCCACGGUGAUUUUAUACACAAUUUUUUUUAUCAUUGGUUAUUAAUGAUAUCUAUUAUACCUUUAUUUUAAUAUAUAACUUCUAAACGAAAAUCAUCAUUUUUAAACCUAACCAGAAUGAAGACGUAAACAUUCUAACUCAUUAACUUAUUCAUUCGACAAUUUUUUGGCAUCCCUAAAAUACAAGACAUAAUUUCUUAAGUUUCCAGAUUCCUAUAAAUUUCACCUGUUUCAGUUAACAAAUUUUCUUCGGGAAUAUCCAGAUUUUCAAUCGAUUCCUUAAUAAUAUGCGUAGCCUUGCCGUCUA